GUCUAUGGCCAUACUACCCUGAACAAGCCCGAUCCCGUCUGAUCUCAGAAGCUAAGCAGGGUCAGGCCUGGUUAACACUUAGAUGAGAGACCACCUAGGAAGACCAGGUGCUGUGGUGU
rnacentral:rRNA from 1 species